rnacentral:rRNA from 1 species
GACGUAGGAGGCGAGCGUUGUCCGGAUUCAUUGGGCGUAAAGAGCACGCAGGCGGUUUGGCAAGUCGGACGUGAAAAUCCGGGGCUCAACCCCGGACCUGCAUCCGAAACUGCCCGACUAGAGGUAGGUAGGGGAGAUCGGAAUUCCUGGUGUAGCGGUGAAAUGCGCAGAUAUCAGGAGGAACACCGGUGGCGAAGGCGGAUCUCUGGGCCUUACCUGACGCUCAUGCACGAAAGCGUGGGGAGCAAACAGG